UGCUGUUAGGCCGUGAAGUACAGGGAAAUUAAUACAGACACUGGCUUUGUGGUUGACGCCAAGCUAAACGCGAUCACAGCAAGGCAGCAUCCUACUAUGUAUUAGUGACUCCUAGUCUUCAUGGUAAUGAGCUAUACCUCGAUGCCCCAGACAUGGAUACACUUAGGUUGCCAACACGCAUAGAUACGCAUGAUCCUGAUCAUGUAAAGACAGCCAGUAUAUUUCAGACAGCGGUUAAGGGGAUGGACUGUGGAGAUAAGGCUGCAAACUGGAUAUCAACGUUCCUGGACAAGCCUGGGUGCAGGAUAAUGCAUUUCUUGCCUGAUUUUGAGCCGAGAAAAAUGAAAGACUUCGGACCGUAUGUUCGUAAAGGAUUGACUUUUCCUGAUGAAACCGCGGUAAGCAACGGAACUGAAUCUUGCGUUUCCAGACAUCAUCACUUCUAAGAUCGGUGCUAUGGUCUUGAUUCCUUUAUAAUGCUAUAAUGGCCCCUUCACACUAGAGCUACGCUCAUCACGAUCGCCCCAUGCCAAGCGUGGUGAGCGUAGUUGAGAGCGUGGGCAAUUGGGCCCCAGCCGGGCCCAGCGCCGAUACUACGAUCUAAUUACGUCGG